UUAAUUGAAGAGUUUGAUCAUGGCUCAGAUUGAACGCUGGCGGCAGGCCUAACACAUGCAAGUCGAGCGGCAGCACAGAGGAACUUGUUCCUUGGGUGGCGAGCGGCGGACGGG
rnacentral:rRNA from 5 species